rnacentral:rRNA from 1 species
UACGUAGGGAGCAAGCGUUGUUCGGAUUUACUGGGCGUAAAGGGCGCGUAGGCGGCAGAUCAAGUCAGCUGUGAAAUCUCCGAGCUUAACUCGGAACUGUCAGCUGAUACUGUUUUGCUAGAGUGCGGAAGGGGCAAUCGGAAUUCUUGGUGUAGCGGUGAAAUGCGUAGAUAUCAAGAGGAACACCAGUGGCGAAGGCGACUUCCUGGCCUGAUCUUGACGCUGAGGCGCGAAAGCUAGGGUAGCAAACGGG